GCGGUGAGGAAGCUUUCGGUCAGAAGCGAUAGGGAGAUACACCCUUUGCCAUUUCGGUGAAAUUGGUAAAGGGCAAUCCUAGGGGCACAGAUAAUUUUGAGGGUUGUGCCUGCUGACUAGGUAGAGGCGGUGGCUAAACGGAUGGGGGGUUUCUUAUUUCAAUUUAGGUUUAGGAUAGUCGGCUUUGGGAUUGUAUAUGGACUAGACUUUUAUUUGUUUUUAGUUUUUGUUUUGUUUUGUCUGGGCCUGACAAAAUUGGGCCGCUACAUGCAUAAUAUCUUUACCUCUUCAAUCCAUCCAUUUUUGAGUUCCUCGGAUUUCUGGUGUCUCUUUCCCUUCUCCAAACUCAGCCUUCUCACACAAUAAACAUUUUUUUAAUAAGUUUUCCUUUAUUCUCUGGUUAUAAUGGCCUCAUUCUCUAAUGGUGUUUCUUCAACCCAAAAACAGGUGCAGCUCUUCCUCUUCCCCCAAGCAGCUAGCGCAUGCGCCGCUCCAUUGGCUUUUACUGGAACUAAAUCUUUUCAAAAUUCCUUGAUUUGGUUAAUAUUUCUUUUACGAUACCCCUAAUGAUUUAUAGAUCGUUUUCUUGUUUUUGCUUUUUUUUUAUAACAUUCCUUAAGUCCCAUUCGAUGAUGAAAUUGCCGCUCCAUUAGAGGCAUGCAAGCACUUCAACUGUUGUCGAAUCUUGAGCAUUAUUGAUCGGGCCACCAAUGUUUCUUGCAUUUGCUGGAAAACUUAUUUUGCAACGCUACAGUCAUGGAAUACAUGGUUAAUAGUCUCUUCGUCUUCUCCGUAAAAUGGGAAUAAGGCAUCAUAUCUCAGUUUUCAAAAUUUUAAAUGACUAAAUGUAGGCAAAUAAUUGUUUGUAAUUCUCUAUAUAUUGAUUCUAACUUUGUUGGGUAUUUUUAAGCUCCAAAAUUUUGUGAAGUAAUUUCCAGGUAGGUUUCGAUUUGUUGUAAAUUCAUUACCCAGCAAGUUAAGUUCCUCUAUGAUA